rnacentral:rRNA from 1 species
AUUCGCCGCGCGCGGCGGGCGGGGCGGGGGCACGGGGGGACUCUACGGAGGCAGCAGUAGGGAAUCUUCGGCAAUGGACGAAAGUCUGACCGAGCAACGCCGCGUGAGUGAAGAAGGUUUUCGGAUCGUAAAACUCUGUUGUUAGAGAAGAACGACGAGGAGAGUGGAAAGCUCCUCGUGUGACGGUAUCUAACCAGAAAGGGACGGCUAACUACGUGCCAGCAGCCGCGGUAAUAAUC